ACGCUUCUUUUUCCACCGGAGCUUGCUCCACCGGAAAAAGAGGAGUGGCGAACGGGUGAGUAACACGUGGGUAACCUGCCCAUCAUAAGGGGAUAACACUUGGAAACAGGUGCUAAUACCGUAUAACAAUCAAAACCGCAGGUUUUGAUUUGAAAGGCGCUUUCGGGUGUCGCUGAUGGAUGGACCCGCGGUGCAUUAGCUAGUUGGUGAGGUAACGGCUCACCAAGGCCACGAUGCAUAGCCGACCUGAGAGGGUGAUCGGCCACAUUGGGACUGAGACACGGCCCAAACUCCUACGGGAGGCAGCAGUAGGGAAUCUUCGGCAAUGGACGAAAGUCUGACCGAGCAACGCCGCGUGAGUGAAGAAGGUUUUCGGAUCGUAAAACUCUGUUGUUAGAGAAGAACAAGGAUGAGAGUAACUGUUCAUCCCUUGACGGUAUCUAACCAGAAAGCCACGGCUAACUACGUGCCAGCAGCCGCGGUAAUACGUACGUGGCAAGCGUUGUCCGGAUUUAUUGGGCGUAAAGCGAGCGCACGCGGUUUCUUAAGUCUGAUGUGAAAGCCCCCGGCUCAACCGGGGAGGGUCAUUGGAAACUGGGAGACUUGAGUGCAGAAGAGGAGAGUGGAAUUCCAUGUGUAGCGGUGAAAUGCGUAGAUAUAUGGAGGAACACCAGUGGCGAAGGCGGCUCUCUGGUCUGUAACUGACGCUGAGGCUCGAAAGCGUGGGGAGCAAACAGGAUUAGAUACCCUGGUAGUCCACGCCGUAAACGAUGAGUGCUAAGUGUUGGAGGGUUUCCGCCCUUCAGUGCUGCAGCUAACGCAUUAAGCACUCCGCCUGGGGAGUACGACCGCAGGGUUGAAACUCAAAGGAAUUGACGGGGGCCCGCACAAGCGGUGGAGCAUGUGGUUUAAUUCGAAACAACGCGGAUAACCUUACCAGGUCUUGACAUCCUUUGACCACUCUAGAGAUAGAGCUUCCCCUUCGGGGGCAAAGUGACGGGUGGUGCAUGGUUGUC
rnacentral:rRNA from 1 species